AUUUUACGCCAGACUGUCUAACAACUGAAGGUCAUUUCAAGGCUGGAUUAUUGCAAAAUGGAUCCCUAAAGAGGGACCGAUACCAAUGCUUCGUGCACAGACUUCAGCUCCAGACAAAUCAGAGGUAAUAACACAACAUGAGGCUGACAAACUGUCUAACUGCACACUGGUGCUUGAUAAGCUGUCAGAGCACAAAGCAAAGUGAAACCAUCUAUGACAAUGAGAGGCAGUGAUUCACCCGGUAUCAUCUAUAAGCCACUCUGCUUACUACCAAAGACUAAUAACUAAAAUGAUCGGCCACACGGAGCAUUUUAAAGAGCUUGAUGAAGUAUUAUAGCCACAGCCUAGGCGAAAUUCCUCUCGAGUGAAGGAUGUGUAAUCGAUGCGCGCUCGAGAGGUUGUGGAAGUGAAAUGAAGAAUGAAGAGAGCAAUUUUCAGAUUACACUGAAAUGAUUUCGUGAUAUGCUUGUACUCAUUUCAUUAGUAUUCCUCUCAUGCUUGAGUGCUGCUGUUUGUGUUUAUCAGGGUGGGUAGC